rnacentral:lncRNA from 1 species
CAUUUCAUUUUCAAUUUGACCAUUUCCUUUUUCAAAACUUUUCCUUCCGAACCGUUCCAUUUUCUUAUUGUUUUGAAGCUUUCUUCCUUCCGUUCUUCCUCUCCUGGUGCUUUCUAGUCUGGUUCACAUAGCCAAUCGUAUCUUCUUUGUUCUUCAGCAUACUCAGGCCCUCAGGGAGCUCCAUUUCCAGGCAUACCUCCUCUUUUUUGUUUUUUUGUUCUUUUUCCCGUUGUCUUCUUUGUUCUUUGUUCUUUUUCCUUUUUUUGAUUGAACUGUGUUUCAGUGUUUCUGUUGAUUUUUGUUUAGAGGAGAUGAUUUUUUUUAAUUUGCUGUUAACGGAAAAUAACAGGAAUAGCGGCCCGUUAUUGCCGCAAUUGGCCGUUACAGGUUAAAUUGCGGCCGUGAUCCACCGCUAUCGGUGUGACUCCACUUUUCACCGCUAUUUUCAGCAAUUGCGGUUUCAGACGGCGCCGCUACCGCUAUAUAACGGCCGCUAUUUCGGUAACGGACCGUUAUUUAAAUCCCUGGGUUCUUCUUCCUCAAUCAACGCGGAGAAUCUGGACCCUAACGGGUAAUUCCUUAAUUUCACUGCCCCAUUGAUCAGAGGAACCCACUGGCCUCGCCGUGAAUUUCUCUCUACCAGCAUCCACAGCCAAAACUCCGGUCUCUUUGCGCUUUCACCUUCACCGACCGCACCGCUAGUAAAGGUGACCACCGUAAUUUCACCCUUUUCCUGGGCUUUAUCGCCCACCAACGGGCACAGCUUCUUAACGUGCCCGUACUUACCGCAAGCAAAAUACACCCUCGAAAGUGCCUCGUACUCUAUAGGUUGGAUGGCACCGUCGAUCAUCUCCUGAGAGACCAGCCACUUAUCGAGGUUAAUAAAAAUUGCUAGCCAAGCA